rnacentral:rRNA from 1 species
CGCAUGGCCCGGUGUGAAAAAACUCCGGUGGUAUAAGAUGGACCCGCGUUGGAUUAGCUAGUUGGUGGGGUAACGGCCCACCAAGGCGACGAUCCAUAGCCGGCCUGAGAGGGUGAACGGCCACAUUGGGACUGAGACACGGCCCAGACUCCUACGGGAGGCAGCAGUGGGGAAUAUUGCACAAUGGGGGAAACCCUGAUGCAGCGACGCCGCGUGAAGGAAGGAGUAUCUCGGUAUGUAAACUUCUAUCAGCAGGGAAGAUAGUGACGGUACCUGACUAAGAAGCCCCGGCUAACUACGUGCCAGCAGCCGCGGUAAUACGUAGGGGGCAAGCGUUAUCCGGAUUUACUGGGUGUAAAGGGAGCGUAGACGGAAUGGCAAGUCUGAUGUGAAAGGCCGGGGCUCAACCCCGGGACUGCAUUGGAAACUGCCAAUCUAGAGUACCGGAGGGGUAAGCGGAAUUCCUAGUGUAGCGGUGAAAUGCGUAGAUAUUAGGAGGAACACCAGUGGCGAAGGCGGCUUACUGGACGGUAACUGACGUUGAGGCUCGAAAGCGUGGGGAGCAAACAGGAUUAGAUACCCUAGUAGUCCACGCCGUAAACGAUGAGAACUAGGUGUUGGGGGAAUAACUCAGUGCCGCA